rnacentral:rRNA from 1 species
AGCUCCAAUAGCGUAUAUUAAAGUUGCUGCGGUUAAAACGCUCGUAGUUGGAUUUCUGCUCAGGACGACGGGUCCACCCUCUGGGUGAGCAUCUGGCUUGACCUGGGCAUCUUCUUGGGCGAUGUAACUGCACUUGAUUGCGCGGUGCAACGCCCGCGGCUUUUACUUUGAGGAAAUUAGAGUGUUUCAAGCAAGCAAGCGCCUUGAAUACAUUAGCAUGGAAUAAUGAAAUAGGGCCUGUGUUCUAUUUUGUUGGUUUCUAGGGCAGAGGCAAUGGUUAAUAGGGACAGUUGGGGGCAUUCGUAUUUAACUGUCAGAGGUGAAAUUCUUGGAUUUGUUAAAGACGAACUACUGCAAAAGCAUCUGCCAGGGAUGUUUUCA